CCCUGUGGUUCAGUUGGUAGAGCAUGGUGUUUGCAACGCCAGCAUGGUGUGUGCAACACCAGGGUUGUGGGUUCGAUUCCCACAGGGG
rnacentral:tRNA from 1 species